rnacentral:rRNA from 1 species
AGCUCGACACCUAGUGGGGCAGCAGGUGGGGGAUAUUGCACAAUGGGGGAAACCCUGAUGCAGCAACGCCGCGUGAGGGAAGAAGGUUUCGGAUUGUAAACCUCUGUCCUUGGUGACGAUAAUGACGGUAGCCAAGGAGGAAGCUCCGGCUAACUACGUGCCAGCAGCCACGGUAAUCUGAGCGGGCUGGCAAGGC